rnacentral:rRNA from 1 species
UAGGGAAUAUUGGGCAAUGGAAGGAAUUCUGACCCAGCCAUGCCGCGUGCAGGAUGAAGGCGCUAUGCGUUGUAAACUGCUUUUGUCAGGGAAGAAAAAGGCUAUGCGUAGCAAAUUGACGGUACCUGAAGAAUAAGCAUCGGCUAACUCCGUGCCAGCAGCCGCGGUAAUACGGAGGAUGCAAGCGUUGUCCGGAUUUAUUGGGUUUAAAGGGUGCGUAGGCGGUCUAAUAAGUCAGUGGUUAAAUUACCUUGCUUAACGAGGGAGAUGCCAUUGAUACUGUUAGACUUGAAUACUGUUUGGGUAGGCGGAAUUGGUAGUGUAGCGGUGAAAUGCUUAGAUAUUACCAGGAACACCGAUAGCGAAGGCAGCUUACUGAAGAGAUAUUGACGCUGAGGCACGAAAGUGCGGGUAUCAAACAGG